UUAAGCAUAUCAAUAAGCGGAGGAAAAGAAACCAACAGGGAUUGCCCUAGUAACGGCGAGUGAAGCGGCAAAAGCUCAAAUUUGAAAUCUGGCUUCGGCCCGAGUUGUAAUUUGUAGAGGAUGUUUCGGGCACCGCCCCGGCGUAAGUCCCUUGGAACAGGGCGUCAUAGAGGGUGAGAAUCCCGUCUGGCGUCGUGGUAGGGCCCAUGUGAAACUCCUUCGACGAGUCGAGUUGUUUGGGAAUGCAGCUCAAAAUGGGUGGUAAAUUUCAUCUAAAGCUAAAUACUGGCCAGAGACCGAUAGCGCACAAGUAGAGUGAUCGAAAGAUGAAAAGCACUUUGAAAAGAGAGUUAAACAGUAUGUGAAAUUGUUGAAAGGGAAGCGCUUACAACCAGACUUGAGCCCGUCGGUUCCCCCUCGCUUCUGCGUGGGCUACUCCGGCGGGUCCAGGCCAACAUCGGUUCGGGUGGCUGGUCAAAGGCCCCGGGAAUGUACCUCACCUUCGGGUUAGGCUUAUAGCCCGGGGUGUCAUGCGGCCUACCUGGACCGAGGAACGCGCUUCGGCUCGGAUGUUGGCGUAAUGGUUGUCAGCGACCCGUCUUGAAACACGGACCAAGGAGUCGAAGAGCUAUGCGAGUGUUUGGGUGUCAAACCCGUACGCGUAAUGAAAGUGAACGGAGGUAGGAAGCUUCGGCUGCACUAUCGACCGAUCCUGAUGUUCUCGGAUGGAUUUGAGUAAGAGCAUAACUCUCCGGACCCGAAAGAUGGUGAACUAUGCCUGAAUAGGGUGAAGCCAGAGGAAACUCUGGUGGAGGCUCGCAGCGGUUCUGACGUGCAAAUCGAUCGUCAAAUUUGGGUAUAGGGGCGAAAGACUAAUCGAACCAUCUGGUAGCUGGUUCCUGCCGAAGUUUCCCUCAGGAUAGCAGUAACGUUUUCAGUUUUAUGAGGUAAAGCGAAUGAUUAGAGGCCUUGGGGUUGAAACAACCUUAACCUAUUCUCAAACUUUAAAUAUGUAAGAAGUCCUUGUUACUUAGUUGAACGUGGACAUUUGAAUGUAUCGUUACUAGUGGGCCAUUUUUGGUAAGCAGAACUGGCGAUGCGGGAUGAACCGAACGUGAGGUUAAGGUGCCGGACUGCACGCUCAUCAGACACCACAAAAGGUGUCAAUGCAUCUAGACAGCCGGACGGUGGCCAUGGAAGUCGGAAUCCGCUUAGGAGUGUGUAACAACUCACCGGCCGAAUGCAUUGGCCCUGAAAAUGGAUGGCGCUUAAGCGUGCGACCUAUACCUCGCCGUCAGGGUUGACAUGAUGCCCUGACGAGUAGGCAGGCGUGGAGGUUUGUGACGAAGCCUUGGGGGUGACCCCGGGUCGAACAACCUCUAG
rnacentral:rRNA from 24 species